rnacentral:rRNA from 1 species
AUUGAACGCUGGCGGCAUGCCUUACACAUGCAAGUCGAACGGCAGCACGGGAGCAAUCCUGGUGGCGAGUGGCGAACGGGUGAGUAAUAUAUCGGAACGUGCCCAGUCGUGGGGGAUAACGUAGCGAAAGCUACGCUAAUACCGCAUACGAUCUAUGGAUGAAAGCGGGGGAUCGCAAGACCUCGCGCGAUUGGAGCGGCCGAUAUCAGAUUAGGUAGUUGGUGAGGUAAAGGGCUCACCAAGCCGACGAUCUGUAGCUGGUCUGAGAGGACGACCAGCCACACUGGGACUGAGACACGGCCCAGACUCCUAC